GCUGAAAGUUGAUAAAUUUCCACAUCAUGAAGGCCUGAGUGAGGCAGAUAGCGGCCAGGACAGUUAUUCUAGAGGAGAGAGGAAACAGUAAUUCAAAAGUCCUUUUCAAACGGAUUCUUUAACUUCAGGGCUGCAUAGUGAGUCUAGAAAGAAGCUCUUGUUCCUUUAUUCUACAACACGCUUACCGGACAAAAAGAACAUUAAAGUUUCCUGCAGCCAAAUCAAAGCCUUGAUUCUCAGCUGUGGCAAGACCAAAGCCCACGGUGAGGACAGACAA